UGCAAAGUUGCUUUGCGCUAUAGUCGAGUACGAAAAUUCAAUUGAGUGAUCGAUCAAUGGAUCAAUCGAUAGAGUAAACAAUUUGGGGAAGCUUUCAAAUGAUGCAUGUUUUCUAUAUAACGUUUUAUGUUCGGCCAACUAAUUGUUUAUAACUCUAUAGAUUAUAACUCUAAUCUAUGUUUAUAACUCUAUAGAUUAUUACUAAUUGUUUAUAACGCUAUAGAUUAUAACACUAUAGAGUAGAGAAGCUAUAACCAAAUUACUGUUACAUCUUUAAGCACUUAUGUGAUUUGCCCCCUGCAACAUAAAUCAAACCAAGCAGCACACAUGCUCCCAUCUAAAGGCGACGAUUCUACGGGGUAGCAGAUUUCGCUAAUUUUCAUUUGUUUACGAACUGCAAAUCGCAGUUUAAACAACGUAAUUUUGACGAGCUUUGUUUUCACGAUAUUUGUGAAAGAAAUGAGCAAAAUCGCUGCAAUGAUUGCCGAGAAAAUGCACUUCAUAUCGAUCGAAGGGGUGAGCACAUUUCGAGCAAAGCAUUCUCUUCCCGUGCAACGUCUGUCGUCUUGUUAUGAGGUGAGUGCUUAUUCAUGAUCGUUUGGCAAAUUCUUUUUUCUGUGCCUAUUUCGGCGAUAUUUUUCAACCUCGAUCUCGUAUUAAUUUUACUCUUAAACCUCAGAUCUUUUCCUUUUGAGAUGUUGAACUUGAUAGCAAAAUUCACAAGCAUAACACGAAGUACAAAUUUGAUCCAUAAAAAAGGCAAUAGAACAAAUUAUGGAAAAUUUUCUAUAAAACAUACGGGAACAGAAAUAUGGAAUGGAAUACCAAAAAAAAAAGAAGAUUCAUGUACAAAAAAGAAUUCCAAAACGGAAAUGAAAAUAUAUCUGUUGUCUCAAGACAAACUAUAACAUCAUGUACAUGCAGUGGCGUAGCCAAGGGGGGGGGGGGGGGAGAGGGGGGCGACCGCCCCCCAAUCGCAAAAAAACCAUUCUCUG